rnacentral:rRNA from 1 species
GGGUUGUGAGGUUAAGCGACUAAGCGUACACGGUGGAUGCCCUGGCAGUCAGAGGCGAUGAAGGGCGUGCUAAUCUGCGAUAAGCGCCGGUAAGGUGAUAUGAACCGUUAUAACCGGCGAUACCCGAAUGGGGAAACCCAGUGUGAUUCGUCACACUAUCAUUAACUGAAUCCAUAGGUUAAUGAGGCGAACCGGGGGAACUGAAACAUCUAAGUACCCCGAGGAAAAGAAAUCAACCGAGAUUCCCCCAGUAGCGGCGAGCGAACGGGGAGGAGCCCAGAGCCUGAAUCAGCAUGUGUGUUAGUGGAAGCGUCUGGAAAGGCGCGCGAUACAGGGUGACAGCCCCGUACACAAAAGCGCAUGUGCUGUGAGCUCGAUGAGUAGGGCGGGACACGUGGUAUCCUGUCUGAAUAUGGGGGGACCAUCCUCCAAGGCUAAAUACUCCUGACUGACCGAUAGUGAACCAGUACCGUGAGGGAAAGGCGAAAAGAACCCCGGCGAGGGGAGUGAAAAAGAACCUGAAACCGUGUACGUACAAGCAGUGGGAGCCCCACCACUAAGCCAGUGGUGAACUCCACAUACGCAUCCUUUGCUGAGGAGACGGUUAACGGAGCGAAAGCGACGUUCAACCUCAAAACAAGCAGAGGGGGCUUAGUGGUGGGGUGACUGCGUACCUUUUGUAUAAUGGGUCAGCGACUUAUAUUCUGUAGCAAGGUUAACCGAAUAGGGGAGCCGGAGGGAAACCGAGUCUUAAUUGGGCGUUAAGUUGCAGGGUAUAGACCCGAAACCCGGUGAUCUAGCCAUGGGCAGGUUGAAGGUUGGGUAACACUAACUGGAGGACCGAACCGACUAAUGUUGAAAAAUUAGCGGAUGACCUGUGGCUGGGGGUGAAAGGCCAAUCAAACCGGGAGAUAGCUGGUUCUCCCCGAAAGCUAUUUAGGUAGCGCCUCGUGAAUUCAUCUCCGGGGGUAGAGCACUGUUUCGGCUAGGGGGCCAUCCCGGCUUACCAACCCGAUGCAAACUGCGAAUACCGGAGAAUGUUAUCACGGGAGACACACGGCGGGUGCUAACGUCCGUCGUGAAGAGGGAAACAACCCAGACCGCCAGCUAAGGUCCCAAAGUCAUGGUUAAGUGGGAAACGAUGUGGGAAGGCCCAGACAGCCAGGAUGUUGGCUUAGAAGCAGCCAUCAUUUAAAGAAAGCGUAAUAGCUCACUGGUCGAGUCGGCCUGCGCGGAAGAUGUAACGGGGCUAAACCAUGCACCGAAGCUGCGGCAGCGACACUCAGGUGUUGUUGGGUAGGGGAGCGUUCUGUAAGCCUGUGAAGGUGGCCUGUGAGGGUUGCUGGAGGUAUCAGAAGUGCGAAUGCUGACAUAAGUAACGAUAAAGCGGGUGAAAAGCCCGCUCGCCGGAAGACCAAGGGUUCCUGUCCAACGUUAAUCGGGGCAGGGUGAGUCGACCCCUAAGGCGAGGCCGAAAGGCGUAGUCGAUGGGAAACGGGUUAAUAUUCCCGUACUUGGUGUUACUGCGAAGGGGGGACGGAGAAGGCUAUGUUGGCCGGGCGACGGUUGUCCCGGUUUAAGCGUGUAGGUGUGUGUUCCAGGUAAAUCCGGUUCACUUUAACACUGAGGCGUGACGACGAGGCACUACGGUGCUGAAGCAACAAAUGCCCUGCUUCCAGGAAAAGCCUCUAAGCAUCAGGUAACAUCAAAUCGUACCCCAAACCGACACAGGUGGUCAGGUAGAGAAUACCAAGGCGCUUGAGAGAACUCGGGUGAAGGAACUAGGCAAAAUGGUGCCGUAACUUCGGGAGAAGGCACGCUGACACGUAGGUGAAGUGAUUUACUCACGGAGCUGAAGUCAGUCGAAGAUACCAGCUGGCUGCAACUGUUUAUUAAAAACACAGCACUGUGCAAACACGAAAGUGGACGUAUACGGUGUGACGCCUGCCCGGUGCCGGAAGGUUAAUUGAUGGGGUCAGCGCAAGCGAAGCUCCUGAUCGAAGCCCCGGUAAACGGCGGCCGUAACUAUAACGGUCCUAAGGUAGCGAAAUUCCUUGUCGGGUAAGUUCCGACCUGCACGAAUGGCGUAAUGAUGGCCAGGCUGUCUCCACCCGAGACUCAGUGAAAUUGAACUCGCUGUGAAGAUGCAGUGUACCCGCGGCAAGACGGAAAGACCCCGUGAACCUUUACUAUAGCUUGACACUGAACAUUGAGCCUUGAUGUGUAGGAUAGGUGGGAGGCUUUGAAGUGUGGACGCCAGUCUGCAUGGAGCCGACCUUGAAAUACCACCCUUUAAUGUUUGAUGUUCUAACGUGGACCCGUAAUCCGGGUUGCGGACAGUGUCUGGUGGGUAGUUUGACUGGGGCGGUCUCCUCCUAAAGAGUAACGGAGGAGCACGAAGGUUGGCUAAUCCUGGUCGGACAUCAGGAGGUUAGUGCAAUGGCAUAAGCCAGCUUGACUGCGAGCGUGACGGCGCGAGCAGGUGCGAAAGCAGGUCAUAGUGAUCCGGUGGUUCUGAAUGGAAGGGCCAUCGCUCAACGGAUAAAAGGUACUCCGGGGAUAACAGGCUGAUACCGCCCAAGAGUUCAUAUCGACGGCGGUGUUUGGCACCUCGAUGUCGGCUCAUCACAUCCUGGGGCUGAAGUAGGUCCCAAGGGUAUGGCUGUUCGCCAUUUAAAGUGGUACGCGAGCUGGGUUUAGAACGUCGUGAGACAGUUCGGUCCCUAUCUGCCGUGGGCGCUGGAGAACUGAGGGGGGCUGCUCCUAGUACGAGAGGACCGGAGUGGACGCAUCACUGGUGUUCGGGUUGUCAUGCCAAUGGCACUGCCCGGUAGCUAAAUGCGGAAGAGAUAAGUGCUGAAAGCAUCUAAGCACGAAACUUGCCCCGAGAUGAGUUCUCCCUGAGACUUAGAGUCUCCUGAAGGAACGUUGAAGACGACGACGUUGAUAGGCCGGGUGUGUAAGCGCAGCGAUGCGUUGAGCUAACCGGUACUAAUGAACCGUGAGGCUUAACCUUACAACGCCGAAG